rnacentral:lncRNA from 1 species
CCAUAGUUCUACUCUUUUUAAUCUCCGUCCCUCUCCGGUCGCUCCCUCCACCGUCAUCUGAGGCCAGUUAGCACCGAUCACCGCCACAAAAAGCCACCGUCAGUCACCAACCUUCCUCCACUCCCCUGAACCGUCGUCUCCAAACUCGUCGGCAUAUGCGUCCACUUCCCUGAAGGGAGAAUGCGGCAACCACGGCUCGAAGGAGCAGCGCCUCCUCCACGCAAUGAUUAUUGAAACCAAACGCGGAGAAGAAAGCGAAAUCGGCGUCAUUUUCUUUCUUAUCCGAUUUCAUGAUUUUGAUUUUUAUAACUGAAACACAAAAGUUCAAGAGAACAAAAAUAUCUAAAACAUGGUGGCCACUGGUCUUCAAAUCUGAAUAAUUCUAAUUGCACAGAGGAUGUCUUGCUCUUGUAAUGGACUAUUGUAGUCUUUUUCUAUAAACAUUAUGUGUUUCAAGAUAUAAACAAUUAAUUUAGUUUAUUUUAUACAAAUAUUUUUUUUGGUUACAAUUAUUACAAAUAAUAAUACAAAAGAAAUAUUUAUGUACAUAUUAUUAUUCUUAUUCAUUACAAAAUUAUGUCCCGUGGGUUGCACCGGUACUGACCAAAGGGACUGAAUCCUUUGACAGGGACAAAUCUCUCCUUGCUUUGAAUUAGCCGAAGGAUAUGAUGCAUAUAGUUUCAACUGCCGGCAGGUAACUUGCUCUAAUCACACCCCCCCAUUUUUAUUUUUAUUUUGAAGUGUUAUGUUUCUCUCAAAGUGUUUGCUUUAUUUUGGGGGGUAAUUUUGGAUAGCUUGUCAACUAGAGUUAAUUUGCAUAAAAGAGGAAUUCUAUCUCAAAUACAGGGAAUAUCUUGCAUGUUUUGUUUCUCCUCUGAGGAAGAUAGUCAUCACAUUUAAUAUCCUGUCCAGUGACAAAUCAAAAUUGGAAUGUAGACCAUGCUUGCUUGGUUUUUAUGGAAUUCUGCUAAAUGAUAUUUCUGUUCAUUAUGUUUAGUUUAUCUUAGCUUUAUCUUUAAAAGGAAAAAAAAGUUGUGUUCUGUAUGAAAUCUUAUUUGUAACUCCGUGGUAUGGUCUACUUUGAUUAUGCAUAACAGUAUUGUGUUCCAGGGUCAUACUUUUAACUUCCACCGUGCUCUAGAUUUGAUAAAAGUUAGAUCAUGGACAUGGUUUAAGGCCAAGAUGAAUAAUGUUGAAUGUUCCUUUUUCAAUUGGUGCAAUAAGCCUUUAGUUUGCUUCUCUUUAUCCCUCUGAUCUAGCCUGCAAGACUCUAAUUAUGGAUUAGAAUACCCCCCUUGUAUUCAGUUUCAUAAUUAACAUUUUGCUUGUUAAAUCCUAUGCCAUUAUUCUAAAACAAAAAAAAACUUAUAAAUCAUUAUCAUCAUAAAUCACUUCCUAUUGUCUACAAAUAAAGGAAUAAUAUUGAUCUCAUUCCCUUAUAGAGAUUAUAGAUAAAGGGGACAAUUUUCAAUUUUUAUUUAUUAAGGGACAAUACUUCUAUGAUUCUAUAAUAGUUUCUUAUAAAAAUAUUUAACUGCUUGGAUAGUUGGAUACUUCACAAAUAUGUCUCAAUGAAAAAUAUCCAAGGGUACCGGUAUCGGAUGCAUGAAGCAAAUGAAAGUAUCGGUAUAUUCAAACUCAGUGAGAGAUAGGUGAAGGACAAAAAUCAAUUAUUUCUUCUUCACUGGUUAAAUAUUUUUCCUGAAUAGGAAGAACAUCAGCUUCUCUUAAAUAUGGUCCAUUGCUCUUGCUAAUAUGCACAACAGUCGGUAUCAUUUGUACACUUUGGAAGGAUAUGUUGAUGCCAACUUUCAGAUGUUGAACAAUGACCAAAACUACACAAGUGAAAAAUCCAGAUUCUACAGAAACCUUUCAAUUUCUUUCUCUAUGCUUUUUUUUAUUAUUAUUAUUUGUGCUUACUUUGUUCAUUUAUUAUGUGUUACUUAUCUCUUCUGGAAAUUAAAGACCUUGAUACUAUAUGCAAAAACAAAAAGAAACAAUGCAACAAAAGCAAUAUGAGCCACAGCAACAACUCCAAGGAAGCCAUAUUCAUAGCCAAACUCUUCCUCAAGGAAUGCUUUUACUGUCAUUGAUUCUGUUCCAGGUACCAGAAUUGGAGUAUCUUUGUCACCCACCUGGGAUGUCACUAGGCCAUAUAAACUCCAGGCAGUUGGACAUACCCAGUAAAACCACCUCCACCAUAUUGGAAUUUGCUACAAAAGUGAGAAGCAGCCAAUAGUUAUAGUUUGUUUAAGCUGUUAUUGAAGCAAUUGUGAUUUAGUACAAAUAAAAUAUCAAUCAAGUCUCUAAAGUUAGCACCAACAAUCAAUUUAUUCCCUAAUACAACAAAACAGAAAGGCAAAUUUAUUCCCUGCCUUCAACAACUGUCAACCAAUAUGGUCCUCAUGUGAGAAAUGCAUUUUAUUUUCUUUUCCUACAAGUGAUUAUUAAAUUUUUUAUCCAAACUGAGUUAUAGAAUGGAUUGCAAAAAGAUUUCAAUAAGUGCACUCAAUGUGUCAUGUGUGAACUAUAUUUAAUGCAUACAGGCAAAUGAACGAUUUGCUAUGUUACUCCUUGGCUAUAAAUGUAUUUAAUUAUUGCUUUGCUAUACUUACCGAUUUUGGGAUAAUGAAACCUGAGAAUAUGUUCCAAAACACUAGAAAGAAGGCCAUAACAAUUGCAGCAAUUUGGGGAUUUGGUGUCAGAGCCGCAGUCAUCAUGCCAUAAAGUGUGAAGUAGACAAAUGAAAUGAACAUGAAGAAGUAGAACCACAAGAACUUGUCAAC